AGCAGUAGUAACAACAUCACCAGCCUGCCCAAGACAGAGCGAAUGCGCUGAGUAACUUCAGAGUGUGCUCACUUACUUUCUGCAAACAGGUGGAGGCUGCUCAGCCCUGGCUUCUGCUUGCACAUCCCACUCGGCACAGAUGGGUGCUAAUGUUGCCAGCUAUGCUCUGGAAAGGCUACGGUUCGUUAGCGUCGUAUUAACGCCUCUAGCAGUGCUGGCCAGAGUUUUAAGAGACAGUUCCAGCAAUGAGCAUAUCAGAGCAGCAAAGACACAGCUGCUCAAAACAGCAAUGUGCAGUGGUUGUACAUGCAAUGAAAAAAGACCUCCUUCAAGGAAGCUAUUGAAGACAGCUGCAGAUCAGUCCUCCUCAGGGUUCAUUAGCUUUUUUCAUCUUCUGUAAACCAGCCCUGGGCAUGACUUUAGAAGAUGAUUAAACCAAAAAUUUGUGUGUCAUUACACCCUCUACAACUCCAGCUGCAACAUUUUAUCCAUGAAAGCCCCAGGAUCCAAGAUCCAGGAUAGAAGGCUUCUGUCUCUCUACUUCCUUGGCAUCCUAGUUACAAUCUCUGCUCCCACCACCACCUCUGUCUGAACUGUGAUUGGUUAAAGACCCUUAAUCCUUGCUGGAAUUGUAUAAACAGAAACAUGGAUUGCCAGCCACCUAAAAUCUCUGGUGAGCCCUGGACUGUGACAAACAAAAGGCCUUUCAGUAUUCUCCCCAGCAAGUCUUUCACAAAGGCUAGAAACAAACAGAUUGUACUUAUUUACAUUGUGAUAGUCUCCAAAGACUCCAUCCAGCUCUGCGGUGAGAGCAAAGAACCCAUCAUUAAAGCAAGAGCAGAGUUCAAGCAGCAGCAAUUGAUGCUUGGAGCUCAACACUGAGAAAAUUUCAGAUAAAACAUGAGAUUGCAUCUGGUUUGUCUGUGGCGCCAUUUGUUGCUAUAUGGAGACUACUUGGAAAAGGUGAUGAAUGCACAGGAUGUGGAAACUCAGAUGCAUUCCAUGAAGUAUUUCUGUAGUUUUGCCUGCACCUUCAAUUAACUGAAGUUUACUAAUUUUUAGCAGAAGAAAUAAUUGUUGUAGUAGUUUUCUCCAAAACCAACUCAGUUUGAGAAAUACUGUCAUUCUGCAACUCUUUGGGCACCAGGAUUGAAAGUGAUAGAGGCAGAAAAAGCAGCAACAGGAUCUGACCAGUGGCACUGGGAGCAGUGCAGGAUAUGCACAUCUAUGGAACCUGUUCAGUUACCUUAGAGUUAAAUUCAGACUUAGUAUCACCUUCCACUCCUCAAAACAGAAAUUACAUUGAUGGCAUUUCUCUUGGGUGGGUGCCUUAGCCCAGACUCUUGGUGAGGCCAGUCUUGGUCGUUGUAGAGUUUUCAGAACCAAAGCAGCUGGAUGAACAAACGUGGGAAUAAGGACCAAGUGUUAAGUCUUUGAACUUACAGAUGUGAGCUUGGUGCCAUCAGCAGUCUGAGCAUCAUCUGCUCAACAGAUCCUCAAAUCUGGCGCUGCACCAUUUAUUCAAUUCUAGAAAACUGCUCUUUACUGCACACUGGAACAGAGAAAGACUAACUGUUCAUUCAGUUUAGUGCCAUUGGUCACUAUAACUUCCUCAAAGAGCAUUGAUGUGCCCCAAGCACUGCUCAUGUGCAGUCCAACUGCUCUGUGCAGCAUGCUGGAAGGCAGCAGCUAACUGCACAGUGGUGGAGAAGGAAUGCAGUGACUCAGGACAAAAGCCCAACUCUCCCAGAAAAUGCUGUGUGCUCUCGAAUGUUUAAGCAGAGCAGGCAAACCUUUUCUACUUGGCUGUUUCCAGGGACACAUCAGAUGGCCUCACGCCACGGCAGAAGCCGGAAUUUUGUUUCUCUUCUUCCAAAGGACAAAAGGCCUGAAUCAACCACUGGUAGAGGUCCUGAAACCCUGAGGAGUCUGUAGUUUUUCAAACCUUAAACAGAGUGGCUUUCAAGGAGCAUUGGUGUCUUCACGCACACUUUAAAAACAACAAGGAAAAAAACCAGCUCUUUCAAUAUAAGCUGCUCUUGCAACUCUA